GUGCAGUCAAAGCGGUGCCCAUGUCCCACGAUCAGCACCGCAGAGAGAAUAACAAGGGAACCGGCUUAUCCUUUUCUCAUCGUAUCUUCCAUCUUCCUCUCUCUCCCUUACUCCACCACCGCCGCCGCCAUCGACGAUCUUCACCCAAGCUGGCAUCCUUCUCUCCCUUCUAGACUAGAGAAAUCUAAGCACGUUGUGCGGUGGAGGAGCUCGGCUCAAUCGUCUCCUCCUAGCCACACCGUGGCGCCACCGAUCAAUCCAAGGAUGUUGUGCGGUGGAGGAUCUCGGCUCAAUCCUCUCCUUCCGAAGGAGGAUGGCGGCGGCAUGGCGCAGAGGAGAAUCUUUGGGCGCCCUUCUCCCUCACCCCUCUACGGCGCCGGCGGCAGUGCACUCGCCGCAGCGCACGGUGAUGAAGAAGAGAGGGAGGCAGAGCCGGAUGGAGGCGUCUUUUCCGGAAGCUUCCCUACAGCGUGAGCGGCUGUCGUCGCCCAACAGUUCUUUUCAGCGAUGACGACGGCGUCGACGCAACAGACGGUGGAGCGGAAUAUCCUGGUUGAGGCAGCAGGGGUAGGAUAGUGGGCUCGGCUGGCAUCCAGGGCGAAGAAGCGGGGGUGGGCAUCUGUCCAAGAGCUCGCAGGUACGCCGGCGACAACUUCUGCCACAGCAUUGGCUGCUGGGAAUCUCACAUUUUGUCUUGCUCUCUCCCCCUUUGCCCAACGAUAAUACUAAUCCUGUUUUUCCUUCAAUUUGGCAGCGACCAUAGGAAGCAGGUGUACAUCUGGUUUGAUUUGCCUGCGGGGAUCUUCAGUUUGCUUCGACAGCUUCUAUUACCGGUGGAGGCAAAGGAAUUUUGGUUUGGUUCAUAAUUUUCGUCUGCCAUGGUUGCAAAGGUCUGGGAGGCAGAGUACGCUCGGACUUGUUGAUUUAGGUGCCACAGUUGCCAAAGUCUAGAUUAAUGCUUUAGAGUGCCAUGAAGAACCUUUUCCUGGGACCGAAGUUUCUUUGUUUGGACAAGAAGGAAAGUUUGGUGCCGGUUUUUUUGCUAGAUAUGGCUCGAAGAAAAUGGUAAGCUUAAAAAUAUUCAUUGUCGCAUAUAAAAUACUUUUUUUAACAAGGCAUAUAAAAUACUUAGGCAUUUAGAACUCUACACUGCCAGUCCAGAUGUAUUAGUAUACAAUGCCAUGCAUGGCGCACAAAUUGCAUUUACUU